UUAAGCGACUAAGCGUACACGGUGGAUGCCCUGGCAGUCAGAGGCGAUGAAGGACGUGCUAAUCUGCGAUAAGCGUCGGUGAGGUGAUAUGAACCGUUAUAACCGGCGAUUUCCGAAUGGGGAAACCCAGUGUGUUUCGACACACUAUCAUUAACUGAAUCCAUAGGUUAAUGAGGCGAACCGGGGGAACUGAAACAUCUAAGUACCCCGAGGAAAAGAAAUCAACCGAGAUUCCCCCAGUAGCGGCGAGCGAACGGGGAGGAGCCCAGAGCCUGAAUCAGUGUGUGUGUUAGUGGAAGCGUCUGGAAAGGCGCGCGAUACAGGGUGACAGCCCCGUACACAAAAAUGCACAUAUUGUGAGCUCGAUGAGUAGGGCGGGACACGUGGUAUCCUGUCUGAAUAUGGGGGGACCAUCCUCCAAGGCUAAAUACUCCUGACUGACCGAUAGUGAACCAGUACCGUGAGGGAAAGGCGAAAAGAACCCCGGCGAGGGGAGUGAAAAAGAACCUGAAACCGUGUACGUACAAGCAGUGGGAGCCUCUUAAUGGGGUGACUGCGUACCUUUUGUAUAAUGGGUCAGCGACUUAUAUUCUGUAGCAAGGUUAACCGAAUAGGGGAGCCGAAGGGAAACCGAGUCUUAACUGGGCGUUAAGUUGCAGGGUAUAGACCCGAAACCCGGUGAUCUAGCCAUGGGCAGGUUGAAGGUUGGGUAACACUAACUGGAGGACCGAACCGACUAAUGUUGAAAAAUUAGCGGAUGACUUGUGGCUGGGGGUGAAAGGCCAAUCAAACCGGGAGAUAGCUGGUUCUCCCCGAAAGCUAUUUAGGUAGCGCCUCGUGAAUUCAUCUCCGGGGGUAGAGCACUGUUUCGGCAAGGGGGUCAUCCCGACUUACCAACCCGAUGCAAACUGCGAAUACCGGAGAAUGUUAUCACGGGAGACACACGGCGGGUGCUAACGUCCGUCGUGAAGAGGGAAACAACCCAGACCGCCAGCUAAGGUCCCAAAGUCAUGGUUAAGUGGGAAACGAUGUGGGAAGGCCCAGACAGCCAGGAUGUUGGCUUAGAAGCAGCCAUCAUUUAAAGAAAGCGUAAUAGCUCACUGGUCGAGUCGGCCUGCGCGGAAGAUGUAACGGGGCUAAACCAUGCACCGAAGCUGCGGCAGCGACACUAUGUGUUGUUGGGUAGGGGAGCGUUCUGUAAGCCUGUGAAGGUGGCCUGUGAGGGAUGCUGGAGGUAUCAGAAGUGCGAAUGCUGACAUAAGUAACGAUAAAGCGGGUGAAAAGCCCGCUCGCCGGAAGACCAAGGGUUCCUGUCCAACGUUAAUCGGGGCAGGGUGAGUCGACCCCUAAGGCGAGGCCGAAAGGCGUAGUCGAUGGGAAACAGGUUAAUAUUCCUGUACUUGGUGUUACUGCGAAGGGGGGACGGAGAAGGCUAUGUUGGCCGGGCGACGGUUGUCCCGGUUUAAGCGUGUAGGCUGGUUUUCCAGGCAAAUCCGGAAAAUCAAGGCUGAGGCGUGAUGACGAGGCACUACGGUGCUGAAGCGACAAAUGCCCUGCUUCCAGGAAAAGCCUCUAAGCAUCAGGUAACAUCAAAUCGUACCCCAAACCGACACAGGUGGUCAGGUAGAGAAUACCAAGGCGCUUGAGAGAACUCGGGUGAAGGAACUAGGCAAAAUGGUGCCGUAACUUCGGGAGAAGGCACGCUGAUAUGUAGGUGAAGCGACUUGCUCGUGGAGCUGAAAUCAGUCGAAGAUACCAGCUGGCUGCAACUGUUUAUUAAAAACACAGCACUGUGCAAACACGAAAGUGGACGUAUACGGUGUGACGCCUGCCCGGUGCCGGAAGGUUAAUUGAUGGGGUUAGCGGUAACGCGAAGCUCUUGAUCGAAGCCCCGGUAAACGGCGGCCGUAACUAUAACGGUCCUAAGGUAGCGAAAUUCCUUGUCGGGUAAGUUCCGACCUGCACGAAUGGCGUAAUGAUGGCCAGGCUGUCUCCACCCGAGACUCAGUGAAAUUGAACUCGCUGUGAAGAUGCAGUGUACCCGCGGCAAGACGGAAAGACCCCGUGAACCUUUACUAUAGCUUGACACUGAACAUUGAGCCUUGAUGUGUAGGAUAGGUGGGAGGCUUUGAAGUGUGGACGCCAGUCUGCAUGGAGCCGACCUUGAAAUACCACCCUUUAAUGUUUGAUGUUCUAACGUGGGCCCCUUACCGGGGUUGCGGACAGUGUCUGGUGGGUAGUUUGACUGGGGCGGUCUCCUCCUAAAGAGUAACGGAGGAGCACGAAGGUUGGCUAAUCCUGGUCGGACAUCAGGAGGUUAGUGCAAUGGCAUAAGCCAGCUUGACUGCGAGCGUGACGGCGCGAGCAGGUGCGAAAGCAGGUCAUAGUGAUCCGGUGGUUCUGAAUGGAAGGGCCAUCGCUCAACGGAUAAAAGGUACUCCGGGGAUAACAGGCUGAUACCGCCCAAGAGUUCAUAUCGACGGCGGUGUUUGGCACCUCGAUGUCGGCUCAUCACAUCCUGGGGCUGAAGUAGGUCCCAAGGGUAUGGCUGUUCGCCAUUUAAAGUGGUACGCGAGCUGGGUUUAGAACGUCGUGAGACAGUUCGGUCCCUAUCUGCCGUGGGCGCUGGAGAACUGAGGGGGGCUGCUCCUAGUACGAGAGGACCGGAGUGGACGCAUCACUGGUGUUCGGGUUGUCAUGCCAAUGGCACUGCCCGGUAGCUAAAUGCGGAAGAGAUAAGUGCUGAAAGCAUCUAAGCACGAAACUUGCCCCGAGAUGAGUUCUCCCUGACUCCUUGAGAGUCCUGAAGGAACGUUGAAGACGACGACGUUGAUAGGCCGGGUGUGUAAGCGCAGCGAUGCGUUGAGCUAACCGGUACUAAUGAACCGUGAGGCUUAACCUU
rnacentral:rRNA from 2 species